GCCUGGGUAGCUCAAUCGGUAGAGCGUGUGACUCUUACAUUCUAUCUUAGGAUAUGAGAUCAUCUCAAGGUCGCGGGUUCGAGCCCCGCCUCGGGCU
rnacentral:tRNA from 1 species